rnacentral:rRNA from 1 species
GAUGAACGCUAGCGGCAGGCCUAAUACAUGCAAGUCAAGGGGGUAGCAAUACAACCGGCGCACGGGUGAGUAACGCGUACACAACAUGCCAUAUACUGGGGUAUAGCUUUGGGAAACUGAAGGUAAUCCCCCAUAGUAUUGUGGGUAGGCAUCUAUCUGCAAUUAAAGUUUCGACGGUAUAUGAUUGGUGUGCGUUCCAUUAGCUAGUUGGCGGUGUAACGGACCACCAAGGCGACGAUCAGUAGGGGUUCUGAGAGGAAGGUCCCCCACACUGGCACUGAGAUACGGGCCAGACUCCUACGGGAGGCAGCAGUAGGGAAUAUUGGGCAAUGGUCGGAAGACUGACCCAGCCAUGCCGCGUGCAGGAAGACGGCCCUCUGGGUUGUAAACUGCUUUUAUCUGGGGAAGAAAAAGGCCAUGCGUGGCAAAUUGCCGGUACCAGAUGAAUAAGCACCGGCUAACUCCGUG